rnacentral:rRNA from 1 species
UACGUAGGGGGCGAGCGUUGUCCGGAGUUACUGGGCGUAAAGCGCACGCAGGCGGUCUGGUAAGUUUGGAGUGACAGUGCCCGGCUCAACUGGGCAAGGCCUCUGAAGACUGCUGGACUUGAGGACCAGAGAGGGACAUAGAAUUCCGGGUGGAGUGGUGAAAUGCGUAGAUAUCCGGAGGAAUACCAAAGGCGAAGGCAGUGUCCUGGCUGGUAACUGACGCUCAGGUGCGAAAGCAUGGGGAGCGAACAGG